UACAGAGGUCCCAAGCGUUGUUCGGAUUCACUGGGCGUAAAGGGUGCGUAGGCGGUCGGGUAAGUCUGAUGUGAAAUCUCACAGCUUAACUGUGAAACUGCAUUGGAUACUAUCCGGCUAGAGGAAUGGAGGGGAGACUGGAAUGACGUUGGUGUAGCAGUGAAAUGCGUAGAUAUCAAGUGGAACACCAGUGGCGAAGGCGAGUCUCUGGACAUUUCCUGACGCUGAGGCACGAAAGCCAGGGGAGCAAACGGG
rnacentral:rRNA from 1 species